rnacentral:rRNA from 1 species
CGGCGAACGGGUGAGUAACGCGUGGAUUAUCUGCCCUGAGGUGGGGGAUAACCCGGGGAAACUCGGGCUAAUACCGCAUAUGACCGUGAGGUCAAAGGGGGGUCGCAAGAUCUCUCGCCAUAGGAGGAGUCCGCGUCCGAUUAGCUAGUUGGUAGGGUAAUGGCCUACCAAGGCGACGAUCGGUAGCCGGCCUGAGAGGGUGAUCGGCCACACUGGAACUGAGACACGGUCCGG